rnacentral:ncRNA from 2 species
UUAUGCGGUAAAACGCUGUAUCGUAUCACCAACGAUGCGAUAUAAGAGAAUCCCGUGAAAGCCGGGAACGGUCUCGCCGCUGUAAGGGAGGACGAAACCAGCAUAAACCAAUGCUUGCCGCAAGGCGGGUGUGAAGGGGCUGGAAGUAGAGUGAUCCCCGAGUCAGAAGAACUGUAAGGCACAACGGGCGCUU